rnacentral:rRNA from 1 species
GACGAACGCUGGCGGCGUGCUUAACACAUGCAAGUCGAACGGUGAAGCGCCUUCCUUUUUGGUGGGUGUGGAUGAGUGGCGAACGGGUGAGUAACACGUGAGUAACCUGCCCCCUUCUUCUGGAUAACCGCAUGAAAGUGUGGCUAAUACGGGAUAUUCUGGGUCUGUCGCAUGAUGGGUCUGGGAAAGAUAUUGUUUCGGUGGGGGAUGGGCUCGCGGCCUAUCAGCUUGUUGGUGGGGUGAUGGCCUACCAAGGCGGUGACGGGUAGCCGGCCUGAGAGGGUGGACGGUCACACUGGGACUGAGACACGCCCCAGACUCCUACGGGAGGCAGCAGUGGGGAAUAUUGCACAAUGGGCGGAAGCCUGAUGCAGCGACGCCGCGUGAGGGAUGGAGGCCUGCGGGUUGUGAACCUCUUUCGCCAGUGAAGCAGGCCUGCCUCGUUUGUGGGUGGGUUGACGGUAGCUGGAUAAGAAGCGCCGGCUAACUACGUG